GAUGAACGCUGGCGGCGUGCCUAAUACAUGCAAGUCGAGCGAACAGAUGAGGAGCUUGCUCCUCUGACGUUAGCGGCGGACGGGUGAGUAACACGUGGAUAACCUACCUAUAAGACUGGGAUAACUUCGGGAAACCGGAGCUAAUACCGGAUAAUAUAUUGAACCGCAUGGUUCAAUAGUGAAAGACGGUUUUGCUGUCACUUAUAGAUGGAUCCGCGCCGCAUUAGCUAGUUGGUAAGGUAACGGCUUACCAAGGCAACGAUGCGUAGCCGACCUGAGAGGGUGAUCGGCCACACUGGAACUGAGACACGGUCCAGACUCCUACGGGAGGCAGCAGUAGGGAAUCUUCCGCAAAGGGCGAAAGCCUGACGGAGCAACGCCGCGUGAGUGAUGAAGGUCUUCGGAUCGUAAAACUCUGUUAUUAGGGAAGAACAAAUGUGUAAGUAACUAUGCACGUCUUGACGGUACCUAAUCAAAAAGCCACGGCUAACUACGUG
rnacentral:rRNA from 1 species